ACUGAACGCUGGCGGCAUGCCUUACACAUGCAAGUCGAACGGUAACAGGUCUUCGGAUGCUGACGAGUGGCGAACGGGUGAGUAAUACAUCGGAACGUGCCCAGACGUGGGGGAUAACGAGGCGAAAGCUUUGCUAAUACCGCAUACGAUCUAAGGAUGAAAGCAGGGGACCGCAAGGCCUUGCGCGUUUGGAGCGGCCGAUGGCAGAUUAGGUAGUUGGUGGGAUAAAAGCUUACCAAGCCGACGAUCUGUAGCUGGUCUGAGAGGACGACCAGCCACACUGGGACUGAGACACGGCCCAGACUCCUACGGGAGGCAGCAGUGGGGAAUUUUGGACAAUGGGCGAAAGCCUGAUCCAGCAAUGCCGCGUGCAGGACGAAGGCCUUCGGGUUGUAAACUGCUUUUGUACGGAACGAAAAGACACUGGCUAAUACCUGGUGUUGAUGACGGUACCGUAAGAAUAAGCACCGGCUAACUACGUGCCAGCAGCCGCGGUAAUAC
rnacentral:rRNA from 1 species